ensembl:lncRNA
GGCGGACCGGCUAGUAGUAUGAUGUGACGUCACCGUCAAAGUGCAGGUUUCAUACAGUGAAACAACACUUUUCCAUGAUGUAACAUGAAAACUUCACAAGUUUAGCCUUUGUGUCUUACUUAUAUUUAAUGUUAGCAAAUUAUACUUUUGUCAGUUCGACAGGAUGUCUUAUCUUUUAUUAUCAAUGUAUUAUGUCCAUUUGAAAACCUAAAAAACGAUUAACAAAUGUAUAUGUAGGGCUAAUAUACAUGAUAUGUAACACUGUUCUGUGCGAUGUUAAGCAGUUUCAGUUUGUCUCGUCAUCUCUUUAUUCCUGCAAUGCAGUGGGGAAUGCUAAGAACAAUAUGUGUAACUGGGCUCAACCCAGCCCCCCAGUUGACAUCCACUGUGCACCAUAUCCUGCAUCUAGCCUACCAGGCUAAACAAUCAUUCUGCGAUUACCAAGUGAAAGAAAUACUAUAGCAUAAUCCAUGGUUAAGUCAACUGCAUAAAACGGGACACAAAAGGGCAAUUGUCUACUGAAUACUUUAUACUGGAAUAUAUGUCCAGUUUACAAACAGUAUAAUACCAAUAUUAAAUAUACUGGUUAAAGAUGGAUUCAUAUUUUUCUUGCUUCCCAGAUGUGACUUUUGGUUCCCCGUUCUGUUUGAUGUAACGGGAGGAUAACAUCAACGGCGUUGGUACCUUCACCAUGCCAGGGAGGAGGCCGUCCUCCGUGAGGCGCACGGCGUUGCGCAGGCCCCUGGCGAAGGCAUCCAUGGCCCCGAUGUGAGCGAUGAACAGGUCCUCCAGGUCCGUGGACUCUCGCCGCACCUUGGCGUCAAAGUUGAGCCCUCCGGGUUGCAGGCCGCCUUGUUCAAUGAUCGCCUGGACCCCAGGGAGAGCAAGAGACCCUUUUCACAGAGGUGUCAUCACAAGACAACCACAGGGGUCGCUCGUUACACUAAUUAGAGGUCUGCUACUGUAAUGCAUCGACAUAUUAGACACGCAUUGGGAACAGGGAAUGGAGCUGCGGUUCUUUUGGAUAAAGUAUGGCAUUUACAUUUCUCAACUGAUUUCAAUAAGG